rnacentral:sRNA from 1 species
UCCUCUCUGACUCCAGCGGGAGGCCAG